AGUGAACGCUGGCGGUAGGCCUAACGCAUGCCAGUCGAACGGCAGCACAGUAAGAGCUUGCUCUUACGGGUGGCGAGUGGCGGACGGGUGAGGAAUACAUCGGAAUCUACUUUUUCGUGGGGGAUAACGUAGGGAAACUUACGCUAAUACCGCAUACGACCUACGGGUGAAAGCAGGGGAUCUUCGGACCUUGCGCGAUUGAAUGAGCCGAUGUCGGAUUAGCUAGUUGGCGGGGUAAAGGCCCACCAAGGCGACGAUCCGUAGCUGGUCUGAGAGGAUGAUCAGCCACACUGGAACUGAGACACGGUCCAGACUCCUACGGGAGGCAGCAGUGGGGAAUAUUGGACAAUGGGCGCAAGCCUGAUCCAGCCAUACCGCGUGGGUGAAGAAGGCCUUCGGGUUGUAAAGCCCUUUUGUUGGGAAAGAAAAGCAGCAGGUUAAUACCCCGCUGUUCUGACGGUACCCAAAGAAUAAGCACCGGCUAACUUCGUG
rnacentral:rRNA from 1 species